rnacentral:rRNA from 1 species
AUACGGAGGAUCCGAGCGUUAUCCGGAUUUAUUGGGUUUAAAGGGUGCGCAGGCGGCCAUUUAAGUCAGCGGUUAAAUCGUGGGGCUCAACCCCAUUCUGCCGUUGAUACUGGGUGGCUUGACUGCGGUCGAGGUUGGCGGAAUUCGUUGUGUAGCGGGGAAAUGCAUAGAUAUGACGAAGAACACCGAUUGCGUAGGCAGCUGACCAGACCGCAAAUGACGCUCAUGCACGAAAGUGCGGGGAUCGAACAGGAUUAGAUACCCUGGUAGUCCGCACAGUAAACGAUGAAUACUUGUUUUCGGCGAUAUAAUGUCGGAGGCAAAGCGAAAGCGAUAAGUAUUCCACCUGGGGAGUACGCCGGCAACGGUGAAACUCAAAUGAAUUGACGGGG